rnacentral:rRNA from 1 species
GCCUGAUCCAGCCAUGCCGCGUGUGUGAAGAAGGUCUUCGGAUUGUAAAGCACUUUAAGUUGGGAGGAAGGGCAGUAGAUUAAUACUUUGCUGUUUUGACGUUACCCACAGAAUAAGCACCGGCUAACUCCGUGCCAGCAGCCGCGGUAAUACGGAGGGUGCAAGCGUUAAUCGGAAUUACUGGGCGUAAAGCGCGCGUAGGUGGUUCGUUAAGUUGGAUGUGAAAUCCCCGGGCUCAACCUGGGAACUGCAUUCGAAACUGACAAGCUAGAGUAUGGUAGAGGGUGGUGGAAUUUCCUGUGUAGCGGUGAAAUGCGUAGAGAUAGGAAGGAACACCAGUGGCGAAGGCGACCCCCUGGA